CAUUACAGGCAUGAGCCACUGUGCCUGGCCAGGAAGCCUUGAUUCUGAAGAUUUUUCAAAGCACUUGCUGCCAUUUCUCCAUCUUUAUGUCCCAAAUUUUCUUCCAGAGAGGUACAGGCAGUUGAAGGGAAGAAGCUGGCAGAGUCCUGGGGAGCGACAUUUAUGGAGUCAUCUGCUCGAGAGAAUCAGCUGACUCAAUGCAUCUUCACCAAAGUGAUCCAGGAGAUUGCCCGUGUGGAGAAUUCCUAUGGUCAAGAGCGUCGCUGCCAUCUCAUGUGAGCCCUCGGGUGUGGGGUAACUGCCUUGUUUCUGCCCCUGGCACUUGCCAUGUUCCAGUGGGGGCAGACCCUCAGGACUUCAUGGGUAUGUUUGCCAGCUGUGUACCUGGCCCCUGGGCACACAGUGUGGCAUCCUCAUAUUUGCACACUUUCCCCAGGCUCCAGUGGCCUGGAUGUCAAUGUUUACAAAGGGGCAAGGACAUCUCAUGGACACUGGCCGUCUAGCCCUCUGUUUUUGCUAGAUGAAUUCUGUUAUAACCUAUGGGGUUAGAAUAUGAGUCCUGGGCAUUAUUUAUCCAGGACCCAUCCUCUUGGGUGGGUUUUGGGUGUUGGCUCGGUAAGGGGAGCUGGGGACUCCUGAAAUAGAGCUGACUCCCUGGGGUGACAAUGUAUACAUGCAAAUAAACUGAGAAAUCUUUU